rnacentral:rRNA from 1 species
CCUACGGGAGGCAGCAGUGGGGAAUAUUGGACAAUGGGGGAAACCCUGAUCCAGCGACGCCGCGUGAGUGAAGAAGGAUUUCGGUACGUAAAGCUCUAUCAGCAGGAAAGAAAAUGACGGUACCUGACGAAGAAGCACCGGCUAACUACGUGCCAGCAGCCGCGGUAAUACGUAGGGGGCAAGCGUUAUCCGGAUUUACUGGGUGUAAAGGGAGCGUAGACGGCAGCGCAAGUCUGGAGUGAAAUGCCGGGGCCCAACCCCGGAACUGCGCUUGAAACUGUGACGCUGGAGUGCCGGAGAGGUACGCGGAAUUCCUGUUGUAGCGGUGAAAUGCGUAGAUAUCAGGAGGAACACC